AUUGAACGCUGGCGACAGGCCUAACACAUGCAAGUCGAGCGAGCGGCGGACGGGUGAGUAAUGUAUUGGGAUCUGCCUGAUAGAGGGGGAUAACUACUGGAAACGGUGGAUAAUACCGCAUACUAUCCGAUGGACCCAUAUGGGAUUAGCUAGUAGGUGGGGUAAAGGCUCACCGAGGCGACGAUUUCUAGCUGGUCUGAGAGGAUGAUCAGCCACACUGGGACUGAGACACGGCCCAGACUCCUACGGGAGGCAGCAGUGGGGAAUAUUGCACAAUGGGCGAAAGCCUGAUGGAGCCAUGCCGCGUGUGUGAAGAAGGCCUUCGGGUUGUAAAGCACUUUCAGCGAGGAGGCGUUACUCGCAGAAGAAGCACCGGCUAACUCCGUGCCAGCCGCCGCGGUAAUAC
rnacentral:rRNA from 1 species